CUCUCGGCAACGGAUAUCUCGGCUCUCGCAUCGAUGAAGAACGUAGCGAAAUGCGAUACCUGGUGUGAAUUGCAUAAUCCUGUGAACCAUCGAGUCUUUGAACGCAAGUUGCGCCCGAGGCCAUCCGGCUAAGGGCACGCCUGCCUGGGCGUCAC
rnacentral:rRNA from 1 species